CGUGUCUUUAAUAAAAUCAUGACUUUACGUCAUGUUAAUAAUAAAAUCUGGGAAUUUUAUUAAAGACACGGAGGCUCCUAUUAUGCAAGUUUAAAGCUUAGAAACCACUUGAGAUGCAAAAUGGUCAAUCGGCCUGAAGUAGAAAUCACGAAAGGUCGAUUCCCGUGACCAAUCCGCCGCACGUAGAAUAUCUUCUAGGCGGCAGCCCAUAGCCGCCGCCUUGGAGGCCAUAGCUCCGCGGACUGAAUGAGGGGUGAAUCUAGACGUAUCGAUCCUGGCCAGAGAUAACAAUUCCCGAACCCAUCUCGCCAACGUAGGUGUAGACACCGGAAGGUGUGGGGCUCGAAGCGAGAUGAACAAGGGGCAUAGCUCCGGGGAUCGCAACGGUCGAGUAACCUCGAGGUAGGCCUGAAGGCAUUCGACUGGACAGAUAGCCGGGUUUCCCUGGAAUCUAGGGUAAACAAACACCUUCAAAGCCGACUUCGUUCUCCUGGAUAUGUUAAAGGAGAUGCCCUCCGGAGUGAACGCAAUGGCAUUCCAGUCCAGUGCCCGAACAUCCGACACCCUCUUGCAAGAGAUAAGGCAUAGCAACAUGACCACCUUCACUGACAGCUGUUUCAGUGUGAGAUCCUGAUUUGGAUACCAAGCCGACAAGAAUUGAAGGACCACAUUCACGUCCCAGAAGGCAGUGAAUCUCGCACGGGGCGGUCUGAUGAGACGGAUCCCCUUGAGCAGUCGGCAUACAAAGGGGUGACGUCCUACGGGCGAACCAUCCAAGCCUUGGUGUCCGGCUGAUAUAGCGGAUCGGCAUAGAUUAAUAGUGCGGUACGCCUUCCCAGAUUCAAACAUCUCAGUAAGGAAUUCCAUGAUCACAUGUAAAGGGGCAGAUAUGGGAUCCACUGACCGUUCCACGCACCAACUAGACCAUAUUCUCCAGGCGGAUCGGUACGCCACUCGAGUACCUGGUGCCCAUGCGUUGUCAAGGAGGUCGAGAGUUGAUUGCGGAACCCCUGUGAUAGACCAGGGUCCCCUGAAAGAGGCCAUGCGAUCAGGUGUAGGAGGCCGCGCUCCACCAACUCGUGCGAGUUGCCAUCCGGAUCCCUCAGGAGAUUCGGGAAGGUCGGUAUCAGGCGUGGGUAAUCCGCUGUCAGUUCCAGCAGCCGAGGGAACCAAGGCCGAGACCGCCAUAGUGGUUGAUCAGUACCAACGAGCCGCCGUGUUGCGUCAGUUUCGACAGCGUGCGAGUGUGGCAGAAGCAGCCACAAGAGACUGUACCUGCAUUAUUAUUGCGUUGUAUUUGUCCUAAUAAUCGCUGAAUACCUGGUAUGCGAACCGCUGGAAAGUGCCGAAUGCACGACCACCCUGCUGUGGUCGUGUGCUUCCCCUGUAUAGAGGGAAACAAUGUUGCCAGAGAGGUAAUUGGGUUCGUGGGUGGCCGCCGUUCGCACAAAACCCACGUGGCGGCGGCCAUCUUAACUGCCGAACAGCGGUGUCUGGUCGUCGAGCGCCUGGAACUAAAACCGGGCGCUCGACUACCCAGACACCGCUCAGACCUCCAGGACCACGGAACUGCCCAAUUCAAACUGCCGAACGGCCCGCCGUUCGGUAGGAUGAAUCCCCCAGACUAGGGGAUUCAUCCGAACCUAAGAUUAGAGCCGGAUGGCUGAACAUUCGGUACUUUCAGUUCAGUGUAAUAGACCGACCGCAGGGCCAGAAUCCAUGGAGCUGUUUUCGGCUACCAAAUCCCUGCGGUCGGUCAAAUCUUUGAAUGUCUGUAACUCCCGAACCCCUGGUCUGAUCUGGGUGAAAUUUGAGUAUGUUGCUCACCCAGACCAGACCAACCAGGGGACCCCUCAUUUGUCACCGUACCCCCUGUAUUUAGGGGACAUCCAGAAAUGGGGGAAAACUCUGUUCCCACUAAUGAGCUUAACUGUUAAUCUAAGGGGAGGAGAGGGAGAGGAGGUAACCACGAUGUGAUUGGAUAUGUUAAGUUACCUCCCUUGCAUGGGAAAAAGUCAUAAAAGCAAAUGUGUGAAUAAACCUGGCAGUUGACCUCCAAGCUAUGUGUCGUCUAGUUCUUGGAGGGAAGGGAUUGUAACUACGCUACCUGUUUUGUACCUGUCUUGGAUUGCUGUUCCUGUCUACCAGUGGAGCUACCUUGGAUAAUACCUCUACUCCGCUACAAUUGGUGGCAAGCGACGGGAUCGUACUACACAGCAAAAAGGAGUCAGCAGGAAUUAAAAAGGACUGAAUGGAAACGGAUUAUACCCUCUUAAAACGGGACACGCUAAGAGAGCUACUAGAAGCGAGAGGGAGGAUAGCAAGCAACAAAACAAAGGCUAUCCUAAUCGCAGAACUCAUGGAAGGAGACAGAGUCGCAGCUGCUGCAGCACCUCCAAGGGAGGAGGAAUCUGAGUUUGCCAGGGAAUAUAGGUGCAGGAUGGCUCUAUUCCCACCAGACAUAGCAGCGCAGAAGGCAGACCAGAUUUACAAUGAUGUACAGGCAUACAUCAUGCUGCGAACGACACCGAGGAACCAACAAGAGGGGGAAGGAAUCGCAACGGCUGUCCCCACCCCGCCAGCAAAAGCUAAAAUACCGUAUCAGGCAUUUAAAGCAUUUAAUGAUACCGAGGGGGACAUUGAUGGCUAUUUACAGGACUUUGAACGGUUGUGCCAGCUACAUGCCAUUAGCACCGAAGACCAAGUGCCCCUGCUAGCGGGUAACCUGUCAGGCCGCGCCGCAGAUGCCUACCGAGCCAUGCCGGCAGAGGACAUCCGGGACUAUCAGAAGGUAAAACAAACCUUGCUCGCACGAUAUGCCAUUACACCUGAGGCAUACCGAAUACAGUUCCGGAAACUACUCAAACCGGGAAAAGACUCGCAUGCAGAAUUCGCACACCGACUACAACGGGCAGCCACCGGGUGGAUAGAGGCAGCAAAAGCCAUCACGUCCCAAGAGAUCACGCAGUUGAUGGUGCUGGAACAAUUCUACCAAUGUUUGUCAGAAGAUCUACAGAUCUGGGUAAGAGAUCGUAAACCCCGCACGCUGCAAGAGGCCGCUAAGUUAGCAGAUGAGCAUCAGGACACCCGGCGGGAACAGCACUCAUCUACUAGAGUGCAAUCCACGCCAAACGUUCCCCGACUUACCCCAGUAGAUUCACCCCGACCAGGGGGGACCUACCAGUCACAACCCCCCCGGUACAACAACAGGGCAUCUAUCCGGUGCCAUACCUGUAACCAGCUUGGGCAUAUGCAACGAGACUGUCCCCGAAACCGGGCCAGGCCGGCCUGGACCCCUCCACGACCACCAACCACCCCUGGAGCCGCAGUCCACUGCUAUCAGGCCAGAGCAUUGGCUCAACCUUUCACCCCUACCCAAAUAGAGGAACCCUUGGGCACCCUCCAUGAGGUAAACCCGGUACAGGCGGCAUCCGACAAGUGGUCCACGUGGAGGGAAAGCGGAUGGAGGGAUUACGAGAUUCUGGGGCCACCAUCACUCUGAUACGGAAUCAUUUAGUGGCCCCGAACCAUCUCACUGGAGACUGUAUUGCGGUUAGGGUGGCAGGGGGAGCCAUUUACAAAGUACCCACUGCGAAACUACAUUUGGACUGGGGAGCGGGGGCAGGGCAAAUUGAAGUGGGGAUGAUGCAGGACCUACCUGCGGAUGUGAUUUUGGGGAACGACUUGGGGGAGCUAACCUCCGCUUUUGUUACCCGACCUCCUCCACAGGAGGCAUACCCGGUCGUCACCCGUCAACAGGCUCGCACCACGGCACCACACAUCGACUCUGAGGCUCCGGUAAGCCCGAACCCCCCUGAUCACACUGUGUUACCCUGGGCCGGUAUCAGGCGUGGGUAAUCCGCUGUCAGUUCCAGCAGCCGAGGGAACCAAGGCCGAGACCGCCAUAGUGGUGUGAUCAGUACCAACGAGCCGCCGUGUUGCGUCAGUUUCGACAGCGUGCGAGUGUGGCAGAAGCAGCCACAAGAGACUGUACCUGCAUUAUUAUUGCGUUGUAUUUGUCCUAAUAAUCGCUGAAUACCUGGUAUGCGAACCGCUGGAAAGUGCCGAAUGCACGACCACCCUGCUGUGGUCGUGUGCUUCCCCUGUAUAGAGGGAAACAAUGUUGCCAGAGAGGUAAUUGGGUUCGUGGGUGGCCGCCGUUCGCACAAAACCCACGUGGCGGCGGCCAUCUUAACUGCCGAACAGCGGUGUCUGGUCGUCGAGCGCCUGGAACUAAAACCGGGCGCUCGACUACCCAGACACCGCUCAGACCUCCAGGACCACGGAACUGCCCGAUUCAAACUGCCGAACGGCCCGCCGUUCGGUAGGAUGAAUCCCCCAGACUAGGGGAUUCAUCCGAACCUAAGAUUAGAGCCGGAUGGCUGAACAUUCGGUACUUUCAGUUCAGUGUAAUAGACCGACCGCAGGGCCAGAAUCCAUGGAGCUGUUUUCGGCUACCAAAUCCCUGCGGUCGGUCAAAUCUUUGAAUGUCUGUAACUCCCAAACCCCUGGUCUGAUCUGGGUGAAAUUUGAGUAUGUUGCUCACCCAGACCAGACCAACCAGGGGACCCCUCAUUUGUCACCGUACCCCCUGUAUUUAGGGGACAUCCAGAAAUGGGGGAAAACUCUGUUCCCACUAAUGAGCUUAACUGGUAAUCUAAGGGGAGGAGAGGGAGAGGAGGUAACCACGAUGUGAUUGGAUAUGUUAAGUUACCUCCCUUGCAUGGGAAAAGGACAUAAAAGCAAAUGUGUGAAUAAACCUGGCAGUUGACCUCCAAGCUAUGUGUCGUCUAGUUCUUGGAGGGAAGGGAUUGUAACUACGCUACCUGUUUUGUACCUGUCUUGGAUUGCUGUUCCUGUCUACCAGUGGAGCUACCUUGGAUAAUACCUCUACUCCGCUACAGCGAGCUAUCAUAUUGAACGGGGGAAAAGCGUAGAGCCGAGUCUGCGGCCAGUCUUGAAGGAACGCAUCCGUUGCUACUGCCGCCGGAUCCGGUCUCCAACUGAAGAACUUGGGUACUUGCAAGUUGAGACGGGACGCGAAAAGGUCCACGUCGAAUGGGCCCCAAAUGUGGUCCAGACCCUGGAAGGCCGUAGCAUGCAAGCGCCAAUCUCCAGAAUCUCUCAAAUAGCGUGAGUUACAAUCGGCCGUUGAGUUGUCCAGACCCGGAAUAUGUUCCGCCUGCACGGAAAUGUUGUUGCGAAGGCAGAAUUGCCAGAAGUCCUUCGCCAUGAGAGCUAACAUGCGCGAUUUCGUGCCUCCCAGGUGAUUGAUGUAUCGGACCGCUGAUACAUUGUCCAUCUUGAGCAUCACGCAACAAUUCGCCCGUUCCGGCGUGAGGCUGCGAAUAGCGAAUGCACCUGCCAAUAGUUCCAGGCAGUUGAUAUGGAGUGUUCGUUCCUGAUUCGACCAUCUGCCUCCGGUAGAUGCGGCACCACAACGCGCGCCCCAGCCGUGUAAGCUGGCAUCUGACUCUAUCACGAUGUCCGGGACAGAACCGAAUAUGGCUCUCCCGUUCCAGGCGUCCAUGUGGGCCAGCCACCAGGUCAGCUCGUCUCUGGACUCGUCGUCGAGUCUCACUCUCUGUUCGUAAGAGUGGCCGGCACGUAGGUGAGAGCCUUUUAAGCGUUGAAGGGCCCGGUAAUGGAGAGGGCCAGGGAAAAUUGCUUGUAUUGAGGCGGCCAGGAGGCCGAUCACCCUCGCCAGAUGUCGGAUAGAGAUGUCGUCUGCACGUAGUGUACGUCUGAUUUCCUUCUUGAUCGCCUUUGUCUUGGAUUCCGGAAGGAACAGGAAUUGUUGGACGGAGUCCACUGUAAACCCCAGAAAUUCCAGCGUUUGGGUGGGGUCUAAUACCGACUUCUCCCAAUUGAUGAGAAAGCCUAGGUUCUGGAGUAAGGACGUAGUCCAUGAUACAUGAAUCGUCAGUAAUUCUCUUGACUGGGCCAUCAGCAAGAUGUCGUCCAAAUAGAUGAUCAGACGUACACCGCGACUCCGAAGGAAGGAUACCACAGGUUUCAUGACCUUGGUGAAGCACCAGGGGGCCGAGGAGAGACCGAAUGGCAGACAGGUAAACUUCCAGCGCUUUCCCUUCCAGGUGAAAUGGAGGAAAUCUCUGUGGGCCGAGGUUAUAGGCACCGUAAAAUAGGCGUCCUUGAGGUCUAGUUUGGCCAACCAGUCGGACUCCUGAAGGAGGUCUCGAAGGCAAUGGAUGCCCUCCAUCUGGAAAUGGCGAUACUGGAGAAAAGCAUUGAGGGGGCGGAGGUUGAUGACCGGACGCACACCCCCACCUUUCUUCGGGACUAGAAACAGGUUGCUUGUAAAGCCCUGUUGAGUAAACGGGACCUCUUGUAUUGCACCUUUGGUGCGUAGUUCCAUGAUCUCCGAAGAGAUCAAUUCUUCCUGCUCUCGAGCUAGCGAGAGUUCCCUGGGGACAAAAGUUUGAACAGGAAAAGACACAAAAUCUAUGUGGUAACCCUUCACUGUUUGAAGAACCCAAGCAUCUGCCGUCAGGGCCACCCAUGCCUCGUAAAACUGGGCCAAUCUGCCCGCCACCCGCUCUCGUGUAUGAUGGACAAAAGGGGUACUCACCAUAAGGGCGUCUGCCUGAUGAGGCACCUCUCGGGUAGCGGGGAUUCCAGGACCUCCCUCUGGAUGGGAAGAACGGAGCCGGUCUGGGCUCUUGGAAGUUUCUGGUAGGGAAAAAGGAGCCUCGCUGAGCUCGAUACGAACCCCGGAAUCCGCGGCCGGGUGGACGGCUCCUGUUGCGCCCGGCCCCUCCAAAAACUCUAGGGGAAAACACCCUCUUCAUAUUAGCCUGGGCCUUUCAAUGGCUGUGAAGGUUUUAACGUAAGACCCCAGGUCUCUUACGAAAUUAUCUCCAAAGAGCAUCCCCUCAGCCGAGGGACCAGGUUCGGAGACGGCCAUGGUAGCCAAUUUAGGAUCAAUCUUAAGCAGGAUUGCCUUCCUGCGCUCAGCGGAGACGGCCAUAUUAGCAUUGCCUAGUAGGCAAAUGGCACGUUGCACCCAACCGAUCGCUACAUCAAUAUCAAGCUCCGCGUCACCCGCCUUGGCGGCUUCCAAAACUUCAUAGGCCUUAGACAGAGGGCCAAUGGUGUCCAUAAUCUUGUCUUGACAAUGUCUCAGGGAAAAAUCAAGGCCCUUCUUUUGCUUCCAGCCUGAUUUGUUGAGGAACUGGGCAAUCUGAGGAUCGACCUCUGGCGUCUUACACGCCGAUCCUGGGACCGAAGGUCUAGGACAUUCAGCCCGUAGCUUACUGCGACUCUCCCUAAAGAGUGGCGUACGCAUCCUAAGCGCGAUAUAUUGGGCGAUAUGCUCAGGGGGUUCCCACUCAGCGGAACGAGGAUGGCGCAAGUCAUCCGGAUCAAACAGGGGGUUACCCUGCGGAUCCAGAAUCCCCACGUCGCCACUCGCCCUCUGGGCAGUAACACCCCCGGCAGGGAAAGCGCCCCCAGUACGGGGUGCUACGGCAGGGGGAGCUCCCUCCUCCGAGCCGGCUUCUUCAUCAGAAGCAUAGUUUAGUUCCUCAUACUCCUCCUCCUCACUCCGGUCGCUCUCUGACCUUUCAUCACGGGAUCUAGCCCGUUUCCAUAACCUGGCCGUUUUUGCCCGACCAGAGGCUCUUUUGCGCGGUGGGAGCGCGCCAUCUGUGACUGCCUCAGGCGAGUCCGUCAAGGCAGGUAAAACCUGCGUUAUGGAGUGGGAAGAGAGAUGUUUGGCCUUCACCUUGGCCUUACGGGCACCAGGUGGGGUAACAGGAGUAGGGUCCGUACCCAGUAGGGUAGGAUUAGCCACCUGGGGCAGCAAAAGAGACUGUGCUAGAGUCUGGGAAAAGGAGGAGGACAUAGCCCCCAUAGCAGAGGCGAGCGCUCUCUGGAGAGAGGACGCCAUAGUGGAGUCCAUCAGAGCCUGGAACUCCUCAGAAAUAACCUGACCCUCAGGUAAUUCCUGAUGGAAGUCAGUAACGCGGCCCUCAGGGCCAUCACCCUUAUCCUGCAUGACUACAGGAAAGGGUUAAACAGUAGGAGUAAAAAUACGACAAUCAGAUCUGAAAUCAAAACGAAAAAUGGCAGAUAAGUAUAUAGGAAAAUAAUGGCAGAAUUAGGGUUUAAUAACCCAAAGGGACAGGAACAGAACAGGGUUAAAGAUAGCCACAAGAAAAGACAGAACAGAAACAUAAGCACAUGGAAAUCAAAA